rnacentral:rRNA from 1 species
AGCAGCCGCGGUAAUUCCAGCUCCAAUAGCGUAUAUUAAAGUUGUUGCAGUUAAAAAGCUCGUAGUUGAAUUUCGGGGUCAGUAGGUUGGUCGUGCCACUGGUACGUACUGGUCUCACUGAUUCCUCCUUCCUGAUGAACCGUAAUGCCAUUAAUUUGGUGUUGCGGGGAAACUGGACUGUUACUUUGAAAAAUUAGAGUGUUUAAAGCAGGCUAACGCUUGAAUACAUUAGCAUGGAAUAAUGAAAUAGGACGUUCGAUCCUAUUUUGUUGGUUUCUAGGAUUGACGUAAUGAUUAAUAGGGAUAGUUGGGGGCAUUAGUAUUCAAUUGUCAGAGGUGAAAUUCUUGGAUUUAUUGAAGACUAACUACUGCGAAAGCAAUUUGCCAAGGAUGUUUUCAUUAAUCAAGAACGAAAGUUAGGGGAUCGAAGACGAGUCAGAUACCGUCGUAGUCUUAACCAUAAACUAUGCCGACUAGGGAUCGGAUGAUGUUAAUUUUUUAAUGACUCA